rnacentral:misc_RNA from 1 species
UCCGGUUUGUCACCGGCAGUCUCAUUAGAGUGCUCAACUAAAUGUAGCAACUAAUGACAAGGGUUGCGCUCGUUGCGGGACUUAACCCAACAUCUCACGACACGAGCUGACGACAACCAUGCACCACCUGUACACCGACCUUGCGGGGCACCCAUCUCUGAGUGUUUCCGGCGUAUGUCAAGCCUUGGUAAGGUUCUUCGCGUUGCAUCGAAUUAAGCAACAUGCUCCGCCGCUUGUGCGGGCCCCCGUCAAUUCCUUUGAGUUUUAACCUUGCGGCCGUACUCCCCAGGCGGGGCGCUUAAUGCGUUAGCUGCGGCACGGAACUCGUGGAAUGAGCCCCACACCUAGCGCCCAACGUUUACGGCGUGGACUAC